AACGAACGCUGGCGGCAUGCCUAACACAUGCAAGUCGAACGAGACCUUCGGGGCUAGUGGCGCACGGGUGCGUAACGCGUGGGAACCUGCCCUUAGGUUCGGAAUAACUCCCCGAAAGGGGUGCUAAUACCGGAUAAUGUCUUCGGACCAAAGAUUUAUCGCCUUUGGAUGGGCCCGCGUUGGAUUAGCUAGUUGGUAGGGUAAAAGCCUACCAAGGCGACGAUCCAUAGCUGGUCUGAGAGGAUGACCAGCCACACUGGGACUGAGACACGGCCCAGACUCCUACGGAGGGCAGCGUUGGGGAAAUUUGGACAGGGGGCGAAACCCUGACCCCCCCUUGCCGGUAAGUUGUUCAAGGCUUUGGGUUUGUAAACCUCUUUUCCCCGGGAUAUUAUUAACGGUCCCGGAGAAAAAGCCCCCGCCAACCCCCUG
rnacentral:rRNA from 1 species